UUUAUAAAAAGGGAAAAAUUAUAAUAUGUAUAAAAGUAAUAAAAAAUGAAACACACACACACGUGUGUAUGUAAAAUGUAAAGCAGAAAAAUACUAACAGAGAAGACUGCUAUUAAAUAUCUCUUGUUUUCUUCAUUUCCAACAAAAGAACAUGCUUUACAAUGCCAUUUAAAAAAACCAGAAUAAAGAAAGUGGGUUGUGGUUUGAAACUCAAAGAAACAUGGUCAGGAAAUGAAUUUAAGUCUUCAAAUUAAUUGCAUUCUAGAUACUGAAGGAGCUUGCCAAUAAUCUGAUCAAGUUUACAACCAAGUAAGGAAAGAUUUCUGCAAGGGGUAACAAGCUAAUCAGAAGCUUACCAACAGUGCAAAGAUUCAAAUGAAAAGACAUUGCAUAGCAGGAUGCUGAAGCUACCAGUAGUAAUAAAUGUAUUUAGCUCCUGGCUUAGUUAAUACUGUGAGAACUGAUAAAUUUGGUUCUGAUUUCAGACUGCCACAAAAAUUCUGUAUGGAAAUGUUACAACUAAAUUCUAACAAGACAGAAAGCAGAUUAAUAAUUUAUAGCAUAAAAUGAUGGGGAGUUCAGGGUAUGGUUGAAUGAAUAAGAAAUCUGGCAUGUAAAGAAUUAAUUAAAAGGACUGGAAAAAAUUCAAUAUAUCAAUCACAGGUGCAUCAUCAGUCUCAAGUCCCUUUGCACCCACAAGAGAUCUAAGUCCAGCCCACCUUGAAUUCUGUUCACUCUUAUCUACCACCGAUUCACUUCGACCAUUAGUAGUUCAGAUUCUUAGAAUGUUAACCUGCAAUAAACCUGUAUUCAUUUGAACCAACUUGGCUCCUGAUUUCCUGCGCUUGAUAUACUUCACUGUGCUACAUUUUUAUUUCAAAUAUUGCUCUUCAGUUAUCAGCAAUGAGCAGAGAACAGGGUGUAACAAAUUGUAAUAGGGUUACAACAUCUGUUUGCAAAGCAUUCUGGAGAGGCCUUGAUGCAUAUCACUCCUGUGAUUAAAAGCUGUAAUUGUUGUGCAUAUUUUCUCCUUCCCUCUUCAUUUGCCAAAUAGAGAAAAGGGUAAACAAAGCAGCUAUUUUUUGCAGACCUUCCGACAAUCUGAAAGUUCCUAAGUGUUUGGAAUAGUGUGAAGCUAAAGAACAAACUCUGCAUUUGUAUUGUACUUCAAGAAAACCUCUUGCUUCACCUAUAAAGCACAGGGAUGACUGUGUACCAUGCAAUACAUUGUUUUAGUUUCCCAAGAAAAGUGUUUCUUCAUCAAGGCAAUUAAAAGUACAAUAGAAUAAAAAUAAUUUAUCAGUCUAUUAACCUGGUAGACUCAGCCGUGAGCUCAGUUAAACUCUGCUUCCCAAAGAGAAUGGGGCUAGGGACCUCUUUGUGUCUUAUACACUCUAUCUAAAUGCUAUGGAAAACAUAGAGCUAUAGACUGAACAACAAAUAAUUUUCAAAUUAAAAUAUGCAAUAUAAGUAUGCCUUACUUGAUUGCCCAAAGAUCCAAUAUCCUUCUCGAAUAUUUUGUGUACACAUGGGUAUAAUAGGCUAAAGGAAAAAAAAAGAUAUUUUUUUUAAAAAAAUAUUUAAUUAUAUUAAAGUAUUAAGAGACCAUCAGCCCCUAUUUUAUUUAUUUAUUUAUUUAUACAGGUAGUCUUCAAUUUACAACAAUUCAUUUUGUGACUGUUCAAAGUGAAAAAAGUGACUUGGGACAGUUUUCACACUUACAACCAUUGCAACAAUCUCCUGGUCACAUGAUCAAAAAUAAGACAUUUGGCAACUGACUCAUAUUUAUGACGUUUGCAGUGUCCCAGGGUCAUGUGAUCACCAGUUGUGACUUUCUGAAAGCAAAGUCAAUGAGGGAGCUAGAUUCACUUAACAACAAUGUUACUAACUUAAGAACUGCAGUGAUUCAUUUAACAACUGUGGCAAAGAAAGUUGUAAAUUGGAGCAAAGCUCACUUAACAACUGUCUCGUUUAACAACAGACAUUUUGGACUCAAUUGUGGUCCUAAGUCAAGGACUACCUAUACUUCAUAUUUAUUAAUUUUCCAUUUCCCUUGGAGAGGGGCUCUGGGCAGUACACGAGAUCAUCAAUAUAAUGAAACAUUAAAAUCAGAGUAAUUAAAAGUUUUAAAAUUAUAAAAAACAUCAUUAUAAAAAUUUCAGAAGGUGAAGACUUUGUCAAAGAGGCACAUGUGGCUGUUUUGAAUAUGUAUGAGAGGAGCGAGGUUCCUCACCAUUUUAAGCUACUCUUUGCACAAAAGUUGGGAUAAACAUUAAUCACUUGGGCACCCCUUAUUUUGAUACGCUGAGGUCUUUUCACAGAGCAGGUAUUAUAAUUUCUUACUGAUCUUGCUUAGUUCUGAUGCACAGCCCUAACAUUCUUAUCUUUUCUAACUCAAUCUGCACUUAAGGUAUGCCUAAUUAUUAUCAUUGAUCAACGAUAGUUUUUCUUAAUAUUUAAGACUCUGCCUUUCAGCCUCAUAAUCUUCAAUUUCUAUAUGCUUAAAACAAAUAUAAGACUAGCAACACCAAUCAUAAUGUAGUGAUGUCUGGUCAAAUAAUUUUAUUAUAUUUUGCAAAGCAUACACAUUAGAACAACAGCAUAAACUAAUGAUCAAGAAAAAAAUAAAGAGUAAAAAGAGAAUAGGGAUAGAAAAGUAUAAAGGAAAAGAAAGGAAAACAUAAAUAUAUACAAACAAUGACGUCUGGCUGCUUCCAAGCAUAUGAAGAACCCUUUUUCUAUUUUCCCUUUUCUUUUGGGGAGAAAAUGGACAUUUUGCUACGGUCUUAAACUAAGAGUUGAAUAUAAUGUACUAGUUUGGAUUGCAUGUCACAUUAAAUAUCCACCCACAUUAAAUAUCAAUCAAUUACUCAAUCAUGUAGCAGGGAGUUCUGGAUUAUAUUUUACAUUUGUUUUGCUCAAUAUCCAUAAUUUAUUUGGUUAUUCACAGUUCCUUCUAUAUAAUAUGAAUCUCAUGAACCAGAAUGGCUUUUUUUCAAGCACAAAUUAUAAAGAGAAUUUGUGAUAAAUAUAGAACAGUCAGUACUAAAAUAAACACACCUUCUAAAAUGGAAACAAUAAUGUUGUCACCCAGAAAAAACAGGGAACUUUUUUAGGGCCAAUGGCACACAGGGAAUUUGAACACUUGCAGCAAAUACUUUCAUAAAAGUUUCCUGUUGCACAUUCAGAAAACAUUCAGUAGAUAUGUGAAUAUCUACUACUUAAUGUGUAUCAGUUGCAUUAUCAAGGGACAAUCUGGUUUCUUUAAGAGAGAAACACUCUCUUGUUUCUUAUGGCCAAAAUAAUUUUAUCUUUACUCAAUAAUGCAAUCAAUAGUAGCACUAUCAAAAUACCAUAUUUAUUCCUUAGUUUAAGAACUCUUACUAACUAUUCAAUUAUUUUGGUUUAAUUUGUAGACGUAAUCUGAAGAUAAAACUUUUAUUACCUUACUUUUUUCAUGGCCCAUAACAAGCCUCAAAUUUUGCAAUAGGAUUUAAAAGGCAUUGCUUUCUUAAUCCCCGAAUAUAAAUGUAUUAUACAAUUCAAAGAUAUCUGCUCCAGCCACUUCCUAGAACAGUGCUAUUUUCUUUUUUCUUUUUUUAGUUCAGUGACGCAGAAUGUGCUGCGAGCUGCACUGGCUCCCUAUUGGUCUCCGGUCACAAUUCAAGGUGGUUAUUACCUUUAAAGCCCUACAUGGCCCUACAUGGCUCAGGGCCAGGUUAUCUUCGAGACUUCCUUCUACCGCAUAGCUCCCAGCGACCGGAAGCCUCAAGUUUGGCAAUGACUUUCAAGCAUCUUUAAAAAAAAAAGAAGAGGAGGAAGAAGAAGAAGCUAACGGUGGAUUCCUGGUAGGGGGAGCCGCCUGUUGAGACAUCCCACGCUUGACACACUGGGGAUAAGAGCAAAGCAAAGAUCUCACCAUGCAAAACCGGAAACGCUAUGGAAGGAUCGUGGGCUGCAAUGGGGGGAAGGGCAUAUUCACGGUGAUGGGGGUGAUAGAGGCUUGGUAGGCGGACGGUCAUGCUGCGGACGGGAUAGGGGCCGUUUGGUUGUUUGCUGCCGCCUAUUUGCGCAUCCGAGUGACGUGGCAGCUGGCGCAAUUGCGGGGCUGGAAACCCGGAAGCGUAGCCGAUUGGAAGACUGAGUGGCGCGGCUAUUUAAACGGCGUUAGGUUGCAGUAGAUCCCAAAGCCAACUUUGUGUUAUUGCAUAUUGACCUCAACCUUUGUCUGCGGCAAACCUGGAGAAUAAAUAAACCUGUUUCCUGCUCAAGGCUUUA